GACAGAGGAUGCAAGCGUUAUCCGGAAUGAUUGGGCGUAAAGCGUCUGUAGGUGGCUUUUUAAGUUCGCCGUCAAAUCCCAGGGCUCAACCCUGGACAGGUGGUGGAAACUACCAAGCUAGAGUACGGUAGGGGCAGAGGGAAUUUCCGGUGGAGCGAUGAAAUGCGUAGAGAUCGGAAGGAACACCCAAGGCGAAAGCACUCUGCUGGGCCGACACUGACACUGAGGCACGAAAGCGUGGGGAGCAAACAGG
rnacentral:rRNA from 1 species